rnacentral:lncRNA from 1 species
GCUGUUGGAUCCUCUGUUCUUUUUGCUGUUCGGUGGAGGAGUAACACAGGCAGUGGCUUAGCAGUUUAAAUGAUGAGUUACUUAAGAAGGAGGCCACCACUGACUCAAGGAGUGAGACCUUCUCUUCAAUAAUGAAGGUGUGAUUCCAUAGAUAAACUCCAUAAAAGGUGUGAGACCAUUGAUUGAGAGAUACAAGACUCACAACAGUUCAAGGACUUCUACCAGUUUACGUUUAAUGUUGCCAAAAACUUGGGAGGAAAGGACUAGGCUAGUGACAUAAUAUUAUACAUGUACAUGUAGGAUCAUGUUUGCUAAACUUGCCACACAAUGAUUUCAAUGUACACAUGUUGAUGGGGGAAUUUUGCAAGUGAUCCUACUAAAAUUUGAGAAUACAUGUACAUGUAUAAUUUAAUGUAUAUUGUAUGAAUUGAUUAAAAUCUUUUGUGCUUUUUAUUUCUCUACAGAUCUUGAGAUGGCCAUUGCCUACUGGAAUCUUAUUUUUACUGGUCGCUUCAAAUUUUUGGGCUUGUGGUGUGAAUUUUUGUGAAUUUUUAAGAUCUCAUUAUAAAAGAGCUCGCAAUACCCAAAGACACUUGAAACCUUCUGCUAGAGUUUUCAAAUACGAUUGAUGACACCAUGAGCAAUUAUGAUGAAGAUGAAAUGUUCAGCUAAUAGUACAGGAUGUGGUGUUUGUCAUUCAAGGGAUCUGUUGUUCAGGUUUAGUGAAGAUGUGGUUACAUGUCCUAACUGCUCCUCACACUUUCACUGGUUAUAGCAAGUUCCUGUUAAAGGUUCAAGUACAUUAGGUUAAUGACACUAAGAGGAUAAGUACUAUUCUCUGCUAUUGAAGACUACAUUGAGAAGUUAAUUGUUUGCUGUUUGAAGCUGUACAUUAACUGAAGACUAUAAAGAAUUACAUAACAUUAUUGUUUAUAAUUUUAUCAUUUUUGUUUAAUACACAAAGUUGUCUUUUUAUCAUUGUUUAUUGUGAAUUUUGAUUAAAAUUAUUGCAAGAGCCAUUAAUGCAGAAGCGGGUGCAAUGACUUAUAAACA